rnacentral:lncRNA from 1 species
UUGGAAAAUAAUUUCUCUACCAAUCGUGUGCAUCAAAAUUGAGCAGCUGCCAUUUUCAAAGAGCAGAUAGGGGUGAUGCUUAAUUGAUAAAUUCCAAAGUUAAGCUUUGAAAGACCUAAUUUCAUCUAUGAUCCUGUAGCAAACACCUCUGUCGUUAACCAGCAAUAAGCAGUUUCGCCUUUAACUAGCAGCGAGAGGUUCUGCCAUUCUCUAAAGAGUGCAUACAAACGUGAUGCUUCAUUGAAAAUAUUCAAAACCAACUGUCCUCUUCAAUGUAUUUGGAGAAAAAAACAAUGUUUGUGAAUGUUCAAUUUAGUUCAAAGAUCAAGUUGCUUGAUGUGAGUUAAGAAUUGUGAUUCUUAAUUCAAGCGGUAGUUGCGAACGAGUACAAUAGUGAAGUGGCGACAUAGUCAAGAAUUGAGGGUUUGAUUUCACUUCUACAACAAGUCAAAAGAAAAAAGAAAAUGAGUGAGUUGCUCUUACAUUUCUUUUUAGUUAUUUUAAUUUUACGAAAUUACAAAAAAACUGUUUUAUUUUUGAUAAUUUGAUUUAGUGAAUUGUUUUACUAUGGGGACACGUGGAUGUUUCCCUUUGGAGUUUAUCA